rnacentral:misc_RNA from 1 species
UAGCCGGUGAAAGUCCGGUCGCGGGAAGGGCCAAGCCCCCGCGUAGCUAGGAUACCUACGUAUGGCGAAAUCUGUACGUAGAAGCGUAUCGACGAAAG